rnacentral:rRNA from 1 species
UACGUAGGGUGCGAGCGUUGUCCGGAAUUAUUGGGCGUAAAGAGCUCGUAGGCGGCUUGUCGCGUCGGUUGUGAAAGCCCGGGGCUUAACCCCGGGUCUGCAGUCGAUACGGGCAGGCUAGAGUUCGGUAGGGGAGAUCGGAAUUCCUGGUGUAGCGGUGAAAUGCGCAGAUAUCAGGAGGAACACCGGUGGCGAAGGCGGAUCUCUGGGCCGAUACUGACGCUCAGGAGCGAAAGCGUGGGGAGCGAACAGG